rnacentral:rRNA from 1 species
GGAUUAGGUUCUCGUAUGUGACCUGCGGAGGGAUCAUUA